rnacentral:snRNA from 1 species
GGAUGUGAGGGCGAUCUGGCUGCAACAUCUGUCACCCCAUUGAUCACCAGGGUUGAUUCAGCUGAUCUGGCUGGCUAGGCGGGUGACCCCUUCCUCCCUCGCGGCUCCAUGUGCGUCCUUCCCGAAAGCUGCGUGCUCGGCUGAAGAGGACGACCUUCCCCGAUAGAAGGAGGACCGUCCUUUGGUCAAGGGGGUACGAGUAGCUGCGCCCCUGCUGAACCCUCCAAACAAGUCUCAAGAGGUAGUCCCUGAAACUCACAGAGGCUGUUCCACGCUAUCCUAUAGGGUCGCUUUGAGUCAGCACUGAAUUUUGCUUGGAUGACCUACAUCAUUUUGUCUUUACAU